UCAUAACCAAAAACUUCCUUGUGAUUUAGGAGGAGUAACCAAGAUUGGAUCUUCUGUUAGGGGAGGUCACGAGACAGGCAAAGCAAGUCUAUCAAAUAUCCAGGGAGAUUAUUAGUUUAGGACUCUACUUUGUCAAACUUAUGUACAUAUAUUUAACUUAAACAAAAGGGAAUUAACGCAUUUAUGUAGUAUACUUUUGUGUAAACCUUGAUGUAUUUAUAAAACUUAAGCUUAGCAUGUAGUAUUUUAGUUAUCUUGUAAUUAACCCUUUUGAAAUGUUUAAGAACACUUAUUAUGUUGUAAUUGCUUUCUUUGCA